GGAAAGCUUAAGGUAUGGUUUAAUUUCGUUUUAAGUUUAAAAACGAUUGGUUUUAUAUAGGGGCUUUAUGAUUUAAAAAGGUUAUGGAGAUUCUGACUUUGUAGAACUGUUCUUUGGUAAAUAUGGGACUAGUUUAUGUGUUUACUUGUUGAAUUUGAAGUGAUUUUGAGUUAGAAAUCGAGUUUGGAACUUUUUAAAGCUUAGUCCGAACGUUAAUGGCGUUUUUCAUUUAAAGGGUCGAUUUUUAUUUCUGUUACGUAAGGAUGGUAAUAUUUAUGGUAUAUAUGCGCCCUGUGAAGUUUGGAGUGAUUUGGAUAAGUUUUGAUAGUGUUUCGGUGAGUGCGAAAAUUGUGAUUCUCGAGUUUUAUAGUUUUUAGAAAUUCCUAAGAGAUCAGAAAUCGUAUUUUUGUCAUAACUUUUGACUCGGGUGUCCGUUUUGGACAUUCUAUAUACCGUUUCGAAGCUUGCGACGAGCUCUACAAUAUGGUGUAUGCUUUAGAAUCAAAAUAUAAGUUUUAUUUUAGUGUAUUUAUACCGCGGGGUUUGGUAGAAAACCCUAGAUUGUCUUAUGUGAAUAUAAGCAGUGUUUUGGGAUAAACACUUAUUAGUUUAUCGUUGUUGUGACAUAGGGCCGAGAUCAUCGGGAAUAGUUCUCCACUUGGGUUGGCCGAAUUGUAUGAACCUGGAUUAAAGGUGAUGCAAUUUUCCUAGCGACGUACUGGGCGUAAGUACGGGCGUCAGUGAUAUAUGAUGAGUACCGAGUGUAGGUACGGGCUCACCUGAUUAGGUGGUGUGAUUUUCCUGGCGACGUACUGGGCGUAAGUACGGGCGUCAGUGAUAGGAUAAGUAUCGGGCGUAGGUACGAGAUCGUCUAAUUAGACGAUACGACAUAUUGGUGCCAGAUUGUGGCACGGGCUCACCUGAUUAGGUGAUGCAAUUAUAUGAUAUAUGAGUGCAGGUGUUUGGCAUAGGCUCACCUGAUUAGGUGAUGCAGUUAUGCGACAUAUGGGUGCCAGGCUAUGGCACGGGCUUGCCUGAUUAGGCGGUACAAUACAAGAUCGUCAGAUUAAAGCAUCGACUUGCCUGAUUAGGCAACAUGAUGUCAUGAAGAUGGUUGCUUUAUGAGGUAAAGGCAAAGAAAAGCUAGAUCAACCAUGAGGUGGCAGUCUUCUCCAGCAAUGUACAUAUUGACCUCACUGGCCUGCGUGCCGAGUUGCCAGGAGUUGUUUUGGACUGGCUGUAUCUGCUGUGUAUUUUGAUUUUUUGUUUAAAUGGUUGUCGUAUAUAUUUCUUUAGCAAAACUUUUUAUAACAGGGAUUCCCGGAACACACUUUUUAUGCCGUUAUAAUGUCCGUUUUUAGUGUUUUAA